UAAUACGGAGGGUGCGAGCGUUAAUCGGAAUUACUGGGCGUAAAGCACGCGUAGGCGGUUGUUUAAGUCGGAUGUGAAAGCCCUGGGCUCAACCUGGGAACUGCAUUCGAUACUGGACAACUAGAGUAUAAGAGAGGGAGGUAGAAUUCCAUGUGUAGCGGUGAAAUGCGUAGAUAUGUGGAGGAAUACCAGUGGCGAAGGCGGCCUCCUGGCUUAAUACUGACGCUCAGGUGCGAAAGCGUGGGGAGCAAACAGGAUUAGAUACCCUGGUAGUCCACGCCGUAAACGAUGUCUACUAGCCGUUGGGAGACUUGAUUUCUUAGUGGCGCAGCUAACGCAAUAAGUAGACCGCCUGGGGAGUACGGCCGCAAGGUUA
rnacentral:rRNA from 1 species